rnacentral:hammerhead_ribozyme from 1 species
AUCCAGGUGAUGAGUCACACAUAGGACGAAACGCGCAUCCUGGAU